GCUCCCAGGAGAAGGUCAAGCUCUGUAAGUUUCCAUCUAAUGGCUUCUUUUGUCUUCAUUCCAGCAAAGGAGAGGACUGAGUGGCCCAGAUGGAAAGCAGAAAUGCAGACAGAGGCCUGUGGAAGAAGAAUCUUAAAAUAACUAAGCAACUCCAAGAAAACAAGUGAGGAUUUAUUGGAAACAACUGCCUUGAAAGAAGAAAAAAACACUCCAACUUGUUCAAAGUACUUUAUUUUGAUUUCACCUUUGACCCAGAACUUAUCUAGAGAAAAUUUGAGAAGAUAAUACAGAAAGCUCAUAUACUUCAAGCUAUGGGAUGAAUUGUGUUCAACAAAGAAGGAAAGAACCUUUCCUGGCUGAAGUCAGAGGCUGAGGUCAGAGGAAGACGUGACUAUAGAAGAAUGAUCAUAGGAUUGCAAUAUUGCUGGUCUUGAAGACAGAGGAAGGAUGUGGGUUACAUCUAGAAACUGGAAAAGGUGAGGACCACACGUGGAAAAGGGAGGCUGAGAAUGUAAGACAUCAGCAGAGUGUGGAUCUGAUAGCUGUGUUGGGACUAAUGGAAGAUAGAUGGUUUGAGAGGCACCCACACCCUUGGAGCCCAAAACCAUGCCAUGCACAUGUAACCAACCAGCUACAUGUGAAGAUCACAUAAAGGUGUUCUUGUCCUGGCUCUAGCUAAGGUUCCAGCUCUCAGUCAGCAUCAAUUGUGGAAGAUGGGAGUGCAUGAGCUUUUAGAUGAUUUCAGUCCCCUGCCUUUGACACCAAGUGGAACUGAGAUGAUCUUUCCACCGAGCCCUAGUCAAACUGCAGAUUCAUGAGCAAAAUAAACACCAUCAUUACUGAAGCAACAUGGCAUGUGGGGUGAUAUGUUGGGGAAGCCAUAGAUAAUCAGAGAAAGCUCCUUUUCUUUGUGAGCAAUAUUAUUUGCAUAGGAGAGAGACAAAGCUGCAUGGACUGGAAACUUCCAUGACCAAAAAAGAUGUCAUUUUCUAAGGGCUUGAGUGGGAGGUGGCCCUGACAGCAUCUGCAUGAGCCAGAGAUGCACUCACACUUUCAUUAUUGCUUGAGGGUGCCAAGAACUGUAGCAGUAAGAGCAGAAGCAGAAAUGAAGAACACGAAGGAUGCUAUGGAGUGAGAGAAAAGUCCAUGCUUGCAAGAAUCCAAAGACACCCUGUGAGGACGCCCCAAAAUACUCGAGGAAGUGUGUAAGUAGAGCUGGACCUUUCAUUCUCCCAGCUGGGGUAGAACUGGAGCCA
rnacentral:lncRNA from 1 species